AAAAGAACAAGAACAAAAGUUAACCAAACAGUACUGACACAGAAGACUACUCCUUUAAGAUCAAGAUCCCUUUUGUUCUUCAAGAAAAAAGCCUUGAUCUUUGAUCAUUCAUUGGUCUUUUUUGAUCUUUUUCCGUUCAUAGUUCCUAAUGGUGAAGUCUGAGCAAAAGAUCCAAUCAGGGACAUCAAAGGCAAUGGCAAAAACAUCAUCAUCAGCAGCAGCAGCAGCAAC
rnacentral:misc_RNA from 1 species